rnacentral:misc_RNA from 1 species
AACCUAGCACACCUGCGGUGUGUACCUGCGGAAGGAUCAUUACUGAGUAAUUGGGUCUUUCAGGCCCAUAACUCCCACCCUUUUGUGUACCUUUUAUCACAUUUUGAGUUGCCUUGGUGGGAAACCCAUCCCCUAACACGGUUGGGACCUGCCAGGGGGACUUUUUUAAACUCUCAUCAAUUGAGUCGUCUGAGAAAUUAAAUUCAAAUGAAUUAAAACUUUUAACAAUGGAUCUCAGAU